rnacentral:misc_RNA from 1 species
GCUGAGUUGGAAGAAAAGAUGAGGAAUUUCUAAGAAGUGUCUCAAGGCUUAAAGGAGGAAAUAAAGAAAACUUUUUUGGAACUCAAUUCUUUCAGGAAAGAAUUUCGAGCCUUCAUGAAUAUUAUGAUGAAAGUUAAAGGUCAAGAAGUCUAUAGCAAUGAGGAUGAAUUGGCCAUAUCCAAGAACAAGGCUUCUGAGAACAGACGACAGUUGCCUACUCCCAGAGACUUCUU